AAAACAACAGCAGGCUGGCUACCUACGGACUGAAAAACAACAGCGACGCCUCCACCCUCACCCUGUCUCCUCCAGCCGACAACCGUCCUCCUCCGGCCGUUGUUCACAGGUGUGUUAACUGAUGUUAAUUUGACUUAUUGUUGAUAAUUUGAUGUUAAUUUUUUGAUUAUCUGAUGUUAAAUUGUUAUGUUAUCCAGAAGAAUAUUUCUAGAACUUAGAAUGAUAAUAUUUGAAAUUCAUAGGCUAAUUGCAUAAAGUUUGUGUUUUUAAACUGACCAAUUUAGAAUUUACUGCAUAAAGUCCCAAUCAAAACUUGUUCUAAUCGCCAAGUAAUUAAUGUUUAGAUUAACUAGUGGGCGACCCGAUUUUUAACAUUAAAUUGAAACGUGGAUGCGAUGAUAAAAAUACUGUUAAUAGCGGGCCGGAAUCCGUUGGAAACCCUUGCUGAAGCAAAACUGGUAACAAAUCAAUUAGAGUUAAUUGUGGUUUGGGCCAUUUUACCAAUUUAAUCCAAAGGUUUCAUUUUAUGCUUGUGAAACCUUUUGGACCCACAGACGAAAAAUGAAACCUUUGGACUAAACUGGCAAAAUGACCCAGGAACUGAAAUGACAUCUAACUCAAUCAAUUAUGUAAGAACCCUUAAAAGAUGCCCUAUAUUCAGUUACAAUCAAGGCCUCUUAUCCACACCUUUUGCCAGAUUCUUAGUCCUCCUUUUUGUUGUUUAAAACCAUAAGAUAAUCAUGUGAUUACAACAAAAGCCGAUGAGGUUCGUAUAAGUAAUUCCGUGGUUGUUAAGUUUUCCAAGUUUAUUAUCAUCCGGUGUUUUGUAUUUGAAUCACAUCAGGCUAAAACACACAACGACCCUUGUCUUUCGAAAAGCGAAAAAUAUGUUAAACGCAGUUACACAAGAGUUAAACUUAUGAUAACACGUUCUACUUUGUAUAAGUUAUAAACUUAUUAGUUCCACUUAUGUGUAUAAAUUGAAAUGCAUAAAAAGCACUAUUCAAAGUUAAAUGUCUUUAGCGUUUAGGCUAUCCGGCAAAAGUUAACUACUACCAAAAUUAUAUGUUUGCCUGCACAUUAAUGAACAAACAAUGUCUAACUAAACUAAAGGUUGAAGUUUUUACUUAUUUUCAUUAUGUGAUGAACCUUACCCAACCCGAAUCGUCGAACUGACCCAAUUUUUUUUAUGUUCGGACAUAUGAAAUUGGAACACUUAAAAAAACUUAACCCCUUGAAAAAAAUUCUGGAUCUGCCACUGAAUACAAUAUCUGGCAACGUGGAAUGGCACAUGUUUUAGCUCAACAAAACACUGGAUGUUGGAAGUUCGUUAUACGAUUUUCAAUGGUUCAUAAAUCACGAUGACAUUUAAUUUACUUUACUUUUAUUUUCUACGUAUGACAAUAAAAACAAAUAUACAUUAGGCUACAUCUUUAGUUUAGGUUGAUGAUUAUUAAUAUUUAUUUUUAAUACUAAUUUGAUCGUUUUAACUCGUUUACUUAUUCAACCUACAAAAUUUAAAAACCGAUUAAAAUAGUAUAUUUUCUAAUAGUAUCGAUACAUUUUUAUUAUAAUUAAUAUCAACAAGAGUAUACCAAAGAAAUAGUAUUAUCUCUGUACCUUGGCCAAAACACAAGUUUUUAAACCCUAGUAAAAAAAGUCUUGGUUCUCCAAAAAUCUUUUGGCCAAAACCCUAGCGGCCAAUAAAAAAACUAGUUCUUUGACAGUCUAACUGAGACCGGGUAACUACACGGAUCAAAAAUAAUAAUCAAAAAAUGUCUAGCCCUGGGCGUUUUCUCGGCUUUUGGUUGCCGACAAACAAGCAGCCCUAAUCGAUUUCAAUUAGGUGUUGACCUUCAUUUUACGUUCUACCUAACUUGGGUAAUACUGACCUCCGUUCUUCUUUUCCUUUUAUCGGAUUUCCCGAUAGUAUUCAAUUACUAAUUAGCGAUCUUCAAAAAAAAAAAAAAAAAUCGAGGCCCGAGUAAUAGGGGAAAACAAAUAGUAAUCACGAGCCUAAAGCUUUAAUACCAAUUGUUAGGAUUUGGCCUCUUAAACAACACACACAAACACGAAUAUAUAUUACUGUAAGAGAGAAAUUAUACAUACAAAGAUCAUGCGAGAUUUACGUGGUUCAGUUAGUUAACUUAUGUCCACAGGCAACAACCAUUGUAAUGUAAUUUUUUUUAUUGCUCUGCCUUACUCAUGAGAAAUUAGAAGUACAAGAUUUUUCAUAUUAUACCCUUAUACAAUUAGUAACUUGGGUUAUUUAACAUUUGUUUAAAAGUCACACCUUUAGUAACUUGGGUCAUGCCUCUUUGUUUAAAAAUCAUAUCCUUUAAAUUAAAAUAUCCUUCAUGUGUCGU
rnacentral:lncRNA from 1 species